rnacentral:rRNA from 1 species
UACGUAGGGUGCGAGCGUUGUCCGGAAUUAUUGGGCGUAAAGAGCUCGUAGGCGGUGUGUCGCGUCGGCCGUGAAAACCUGCAGCUUAACUGUGGGCAUGCGGUCGAUACGGGCAUCACUGGAGUUCGGCAGGGGAGACUGGAAUUCCUGGUGUAGCGGUGAAAUGCGCAGAUAUCAGGAGGAACACCGGUGGCGAAGGCGGGUCUCUGGGCCGAUACUGACGCUGGAGGAGCGAAAAGCCAUGGGGAGCGAACAGG